rnacentral:snoRNA from 1 species
CCCAGUCAUAGAUACUGCGGGAGUAACUGCUGAAAGCCUUUCACAUGUUUGGGGGCUGUCCCAUCCCCUCCAAACCCAGGUGCUUUCGUAAG